rnacentral:tRNA from 1 species
GGAUGAGUAGCUCAGUUGUAGAGCAUGUCUCUAGCAUACAUUGGGCCCUGGGUUCAAUCCCCAGCACACCA